rnacentral:misc_RNA from 1 species
GAUGAAGAACGUAGUGAAAUGCGAUAAGUAAUGUGAAUUGCAGAAUUCCGUGAAUCAUCGAGUCUUUGAACGCACAUUGCGCCCCCUGGUAUUCCGGGGGGCAUGCCUGUCCGAGCGUCAUUGCUGCCCUCAAGCACGGCUUGUGUGUUGGGCCUCCGUCCUCCUCCCGGGGGACGGGCCCGAAAGGCAGCGGCGGCACCGCGUCCGGUCCUCGAGCGUAUGGGGCUUCGUCACCCGCUCUUGUAGGCCCGGCCGGCGCUUGCCGACACAUCAAUCUUUUUUCCAGGUUGACCUCGGAUCAGGUAGGGAUACCCGCUGAACUUAAGCAUAUCAAUAAGCGGAGGA